GACGAACGCUGGCGGCGUGCCUAAUACAUGCAAGUAGAACGCACAGUUUAUACCGUAGCUUGCUACACCAUAGACUGUGAGUUGCGAACGGGUGAGUAACGCGUAGGUAACCUGCCUGGUAGCGGGGGAUAACUAUUGGAAACGAUAGCUAAUACCGCAUAAUAUUGAUUAUUGCAUGAUAAUUAAUUGAAAGGUGCAAUUGCACCACUACCAGAUGGACCUGCGUUGUAUUAGCUAGUAGGUGAGGUAACGGCUCACCUAGGCGACGAUACAUAGCCGACCUGAGAGGGUGAUCGGCCACACUGGGACUGAGACACGGCCCAGACUCCUACGGGAGGCAGCAGUAGGGAAUCUUCGGCAAUGGACGAAGGUCUGACCGAGCAACGCCGCGUGAGUGAAGAAGGUUUUCGGAUCGUAAAGCUCUGUUGUAAGAGAAGAACGGGUGUGAGAGUGGAAAGUUCACACUGUGACGGUAUCUUACCAGAAAGGGACGGCUAACUACGUG
rnacentral:rRNA from 1 species